UCGGGGCUUUCGCGAGCUCCGCGCUUUAACCCCUGCGCUUCCCUUCGCCCUGAGGCGUUCCUCUUGGCUCGGCUUGCGGCCGCGGGAGGCGAGGUUCAGGCGGCCCGGCCUCCACUCCGGGCCCUGCACCACCACGCCCUCGUCCCGAGAGGGUGUUUAUGAGGAUUCAAUGAGAUCACAUAUAUGAAGACACUGUGAUAAAAAGACAUAUAAGGAGAAUCAAGUUACCCCUGAAGACCGCUAGCAUCACUGCAAGACAUUCCAGUGAGGCCAUUUUGCACCCUCCAAACCCAGUCAAAUCAUCAGAUAACUGAAGCCACCUGACUCGUUCCAGGAAAGAUCUGCAAAAGAACCACUCACAUUGCCAACCUAUGCAAGCAUUUGAAAUAAUAAAUGUUAGUUCUAAGCCAGUAAGUUUUGGUAUGGCUUAUUAUGAAGCAAGUUUCAUGGGCUACUUGUUAAAUAAUAGCCUUCACUGUAGAAGAAUAGCCCCACACUCCAAUAAAUCUACCGAAGCAACUAAACAGAAAGCCUUCAUUCUAAUGAACACCUUGGAAAUAUCUCUUGAGCAUCUGCCCACAUCAACUGAGAUAAUGAAUAUGAAAGCACUUUGCAAGUUGGAAAGCAUCCUACCAAUCUCUGUUUGUCCUUUUUUUUUUUUUUUAAAUGCUAUGAACUUUCCAGAAUAUUGCUAAACCAGGGCAGCAAGCAGUACACGCAUAAAGUCAUUAGGUUCUCCUCCCCUUGACAAUCACUAAAUCAGUGUGUCCUCCAUUCCUUGCUUGUCAUCAGUGAUCAAUUGCUCAGGUGAUCUCCAGUGAUUUCAAAGGAAAAAGAGCUGAAGCAAUUUUGUGUACAUAUACUCUAUAAAUUUUAAAUUAAAAAUUAUGACUUCCAUAGAAAUCAUAGUUUAUUCUUUAUAAUCACAUCCUAAUGAUUACACAUGUAUUACAAGGACUGCAUAUGUUUGUU